UGCGGGCUGCUCACGUAGCUCUAUUUUCUGUCGCGCUUAGUAGCAGGCGUCGAAAUGCGCUACACAGCUAGAUUUCUGGAUCAGACUACGGGUCCGCACAAAGCAUACAAGUACACGUACAUGCCUGACCCGCGCAAACUCGCACCUAUCGAAACAUCAAUGCGCUGCGAGGUACUUCCGGUUGUGAUUCGCCCACCGACAUCGUACGUGCCGAAUCAUGAGGUGUUUUUAGAAAAGGCCGAUGUCCAUCGCCUAGCGCCAACAAGCGAUUUCAAAGCAACAUUCAAAGACUGGAAUGACUUGAUGACGUGCAGCAAGCGCGAGCUUCGCACGCGCGGUGUACCACUUCUCACGCGCCGUGCUAUCCGCGCUGCAGUGCUUGCUUUUCAAAACGGUAAUCCUCCUGAGCGCUUCGACACGAAGGAGGAAUGGCUGUACUACAAACAAUUCAAGACCAAAGACUAUAGCUACCGUGUAGUGCCGGAGCUUCCAGAAAAGUACCGCCCUCAUCAGAAUGGCAUUGAUCAGGCUCCGGUUCCUAACUAUAGUGAAAUCAACCAGAUGCCGCAAUGGGCCAUAGAGGAAGAGAAGCGCCUUGCUGAGAAAGGCAGCGCAGCAAGCAAGUAGCCCUCUUCACAUGAUUGCCAUCUUUCUUUUUGGUGUCUUGAGAGUUAGAGAGUAAGACAGGAUAAAGAACAACGAAGACACUGGCUGACCUCCUUUUUUUCCUGUAUUGAAAGCUAGGCGUGAGGCAGAGUGAAAAGUACUGUGCCUCUAACUGAUUGUGAAUGAUGUUGCUCAGCAGCUCAGAGCACCAGUAUCUGUCGUCUGUGAGAGUCAUUUUUGUCCCUGCUUUUGCAGACUCUGUUUCCGAGCAUUUGUGCAAGUGCCGAAUUCGUCGCACUGUGAUGCAAACAUGAGAUGGAACCUCUAUCCGCGUUCAUCUAACUUUCCUGUCUUUUUUUCCUCUCUGCCUUUUGACAG
rnacentral:misc_RNA from 1 species